CCUACGGGUGACAGCAGUGAGGAAUAUUGGUCAAUGGACGGAAGUCUGAACCAGCCAUGCCGCGUGCAGGAAGACGGCGCUAUGAGUUGUAAACUGCUUUUGUACAAGGGUAAACCGGAAUACGUGGAUGCAGCUGAAAGUACUGUACGAAGAAGGAUCGGCUAAAUCCGUGCCAGCAGCCGCGGUAAUACGGAGGAUCCAAGCGUUAUCCGGAUUUAUUGGGGUUAAAGGGUGCGUAGGCGGAUUGAUAAGUUAGAGGUGAAAUGUCCGAGCUUAACUCGGGAACUGCCUCUAAUACUGUUGCUCUAGAGCGUAGGUGCGGUAGGCGGAAUGUAUGUUGUCGCGGUGACCUGCUUA
rnacentral:rRNA from 1 species